GUUUUCCCCCUGUGCAGCGAAGUCACCACACGCGCGAGCCAAAUCCCUAGUUUCCCCUUCCUCAUUCCCCACACCAGCCGCCCUGGGCUCCCGCCGCCGGCCUCUCUGUCGCGCCCCCGCACCUCCCUGCCGCUCCCGCACCUGCUGGCCUGCCGCCCCAUGCCGCCUUCCCCCACGCUCCCGAACCUUCCUCUGACCAGUUGGUCUCUUUGCUCGAACCCUCGUCGUCACGGAGGGCGGCGGGAAGAUCUCGGGGAAGACGGGGCUCAACCUGCUACAGAGGAGCGAUGCCUUGUACUGGAAGACCAUGCUGGAUGUGGCGAAGCACUCCCAGAAGGUGCUGCUGCUCGUGAUGUACAAUCCCAUCUCCGUUUCCAACUACCUCGCCUAGAAGCUUUCAGGGUUGGGUUCCUGGUGAGCGGCGUCAUCAGUUCGAGCACCAACCACUUUGUAAUGCACAUGCAGCUUCUAGGUUCAGGCUUUGGGAUGAAGGAACAUAGCACAUCAUUGCUGAAUUUGGAGUUACACUCAUCAACAAGGGAAGGGGAAAGAAGCAGUAAGCAUAGCACAAAGUUGUUAUUUGGAGUUAUACCACAUCUCACAUAUAUAGGUCCGUCUUAUUAUGUACGUUCACAUACAUAUGCAUCUGGAAAUCCAAGCUAAUUCAUAAACUUCAAAGCUAGUGAGGUAAGGGAAGUUUGUAUGUCCCCAUGGUCUGUAGUGAAAGGAUUAGGAUGUCCUUCUAUUGGUUAGUAAAUAGUGAAAUGAUGAUUAUAUCUACUUUCUAUUGCAGGUCCAAAUUGCAAAACACUUAUGUUCGUGUAGAUAAACUCAUGAGGUGCUCUCUGGCUAGUUAUGCGGUUAUGCGUGUAAUUGAUGGUUUUGUCAGGUUGCUUCCUUUUUAUGUUCUCUUCUUCUCCAGGUACCAACAGCUGGGACAGCUUUGAGAUGCGGGUGCACAAGAGGGUGAUCGACCUUGUCAGCUCCUUGGACGUUCUCAAGCAGAUCACCAUUCAGAGGUUGAGAUGACCAUUAACAACGAGUAACCGUUGUGAAGGUAGCCAAGGACAUGCAGUUGUUGGUGAUGGGCUCUGUUAGGAUGGCUACGUAGGUGCUCAACAUCACCACCGGGAAGUCUCCCUAUGGUGCAAGGUGACCUGGCAGUGGUGGUGCACCGCCUUGCUUAUGGCGCCAAUGAGAUGGCGGGGUUGUUGCCCCAUGACGUCGGUGUCGGCUCCCACGACUCCAUUACUAGCUACCACUACGUGGGGCACUUGUGCACAAGGAUUCCUGGUUCCGGCUACUCAGGGCACUUGUGAACAUAUUGGAUUACUGGUGCAUUAUGGAAACAACGGAUGAUCUGCUACUCCUAUAGAUGAGUAAGGAAGCAAACAAAAGGACUGCACUCACAAGGAACCGUGAGGCCAGCGAUCCGCGUCAACUGCAUGUUUUAGCUUUCAUUGUGUACAAAUAACAUCUCAGACUUGUAUCUUUUAGCUAUCUUUUUGUGAACAUGAUGCAUGGUGUCUUGGUGGAUAUCGUUAGAACAGACUGAAGUAUAUGUAUG